rnacentral:rRNA from 1 species
GAUGAACGCUGGCGGCGUGCCUAAUACAUGCAAGUCGAGCGAACGGACGAGAAGCUUGCUUCUCUGAUGUUAGCGGCGGACGGGUGAGUAACACGUGGAUAACCUACCUAUAAGACUGGGAUAACUUCGGGAAACCGGAGCUAAUACCGGAUAAUAUUUUGAACCGCAUGGUUCAAAAGUGAAAGACGGUCUUGCUGUCACUUAUAGAUGGAUCCGCGCUGCAUUAGCUAGUUGGUAAGGUAACGGCUUACCAAGGCAACGAUGCAUAGCCGACCUGAGAGGGUGAUCGGCCACACUGGAACUGAGACACGGUCCAGACUCCUACGGGAGGCAGCAGUAGGGAAUCUUCCGCAAUGGGCGAAAGCCUGACGGAGCAACGCCGCGUGAGUGAUGAAGGUCUUCGGAUCGUAAAACUCUGUUAUUAGGGAAGAACAUAUGUGUAAGUAACUGUGCACAUCUUGACGGUACCUAAUCAGAAAGCCACGGCUAACUACGUGCCAGCAGCCGCGGUAAUACGUAGGUGGCAAGCGUUAUCCGGAAUUAUUGGGCGUAAAGCGCGCGUAGGCGGUUUUUUAAGUCUGAUGUGAAAGCCCACGGCUCAACCGUGGAGGGUCAUUGGAAACUGGAAAACUUGAGUGCAGAAGAGGAAAGUGGAAUUCCAUGUGUAGCGGUGAAAUGCGCAGAGAUAUGGAGGAACACCAGUGGCGAAGGCGACUUUCUGGUCUGUAACUGACGCUGAUGUGCGAAAGCGUGGGGAUCAAACAGGAUUAGAUACCCUGGUAGUCCACGCCGUAAACGAUGAGUGCUAAGUGUUAGGGGGUUUCCGCCCCUUAGUGCUGCAGCUAACGCAUUAAGCACUCCGCCUGGGGAGUACGACCGCAAGGUUGAAACUCAAAGGAAUUGACGGGGACCCGCACAAGCGGUGGAGCAUGUGGUUUAAUUCGAAGCAACGCGAAGAACCUUACCAAAUCUUGACAUCCUUUGACAACUCUAGAGAUAGAGCCUUCCCCUUCGGGGGACAAAGUGACAGGUGGUGCAUGGUUGUCGUCAGCUCGUGUCGUGAGAUGUUGGGUUAAGUCCCGCAACGAGCGCAACCCUUAAGCUUAGUUGCCAUCAUUAAGUUGGGCACUCUAAGUUGACUGCCGGUGACAAACCGGAGGGAGGUGGGGAUGACGUCAAAUCAUCAUGCCCCUUAUGAUUUGGGCUACACACGUGCUACAAUGGACAAUACAAAGGGCAGCGAAACCGCGAGGUCAAGCAAAUCCCAUAAAGUUGUUCUCAGUUCGGAUUGUAGUCUGCAACUCGACUACAUGAAGCUGGAAUCGCUAGUAAUCGUAGAUCAGCAUGCUACGGUGAAUACGUUCCCGGGUCU